rnacentral:tRNA from 1 species
AGCAGAGUGGCGCAGCAGAAGCGUGCUGGGUCUGUAACCCAGAGGUCGAUGGACCGAAACCAUCCUCUGCUA